rnacentral:lncRNA from 1 species
AGAACCACCGCCAGGUACACAAGUCACUGGACAAGGUGGGAAGGCAUCUUACUCAAUCAAUGGACCUUAUUCUAAAGCGGGAAGGGCACUGAGAGGAGGGUAUCUCUCAAAUGAGGAGUCUACGACCUGCUUCAGGGGAAGGCCAACAACUUCUUGGAUUUUAUGACCUGCUUCAGGGGAGAAGGACAAGGGAAGUACAGCGCCUACAACAAUGCAAAGGCUAGAAGGAAUGAAGGCAGGGACAUGGAAUGGAGAAUUUCCAUUUCACGGAUCCACAUAAACUGAAAAGGAACAAGAGUCGGUGAGACCAAAGAGCACUGAAGGCCAUGAACCACCACCAUUCUCAACCCCUGGGCCAGGCAAGAAAAGCCACGGUUCCUGGAAGGGAUGACGACAGGCUUACUGAAUUAUUUUCAUCCAUGCCCUUUUAAAAUAUGGUUGGUAGAAAUUUGCCAUUUGAGACUAGAAUCCCAUUCGGAAUCAUGUAAGUCUCUUUUGACUCCACGAGGACAUCUUUCACCCAGUUUUGGGAAAUCUGAGGAAUGGAUUCUUCUACAGACUGAUAAAAUAUCACAAGGUCCAAGAGUUUGUGUGAGAAAGAGGACAUCAAGUGAUGGAUGUGAACGUGGUAGACAUACAAUGGAAGGCAAGAAGGUAUCUCAACACAGCAGAACAAGACCCCAUGAGGAGCCCAGAAAAAAAAUAAAGAAGGUUCCUCACUGGUUAGGAAUUCAAAAGCAGUCCUGGCAACCUCAUAGCAUCUUUACCUCAGAAGCAGGCAGCUCUGGUUACUCCACCAUUUUCAGGAACAAGGUUUUUCUCUCCCCCUCUGCUGCAUUUCCUCUGCGGCUCCUGAUCCAUCUGCCUCUACCUUCUUCCUAGCAUCAAAUUUCCUCCCAGGAGACAACAUGAAUGGGUUAAGAAGUACCCAAUGAGGGCUGCUCCAACUGGACAGCAUCUUUGAAACUGGGACCUCACAGAUGGUCAUCACAGGCCCCUGAUGCCUGGGUACCCAGCGACCAACCCCAGUCUAGUCUGUCUAUAGCAACAUAGGUGAAGGGGAGUCUCAGGGGCUGCCUAAAGGGCUCAGAAUGUGGUGAGUACUUAAGACUGCAUGGAUUUUCACUGUUUACAUGAAUAUAGGACAAGUAUUCACAGAACUAUUAGCUAGAUCUGUGAACAAAACAUUAAUAACAUUGUAUGUCCAUGUCUGAACCCCUGAAAUUCCAACAACCACCACCCGCCUACCAACUUGCAGCAAACCGGCUCUCUCCACAGUCUUCCCCAGAUCAGGGAGAAACAAUUCCAUCCUUCCAGUACUCAGACUGUAAAACUGGAUUCAUUCUGAUUCCUCUCUCACACAUCCCACACCUGAUCUGACAGGAAAUCCUAUAAACUCUGCCAUUAAAAUAUAUCCAGAAACAGGCCAGGCACAAUGGCUCAUGCCUCUAAUCCCAGCACUUUGGGAGGUCGAGGCGGGCGGAUCAUGAGGUCAGGAGUUCGAGACCAGCUUGGCCUACAUGGCAAAACCCUGUCUCUACUAAAAAUACAAAAAUUAGCUAGGUGUGGUGAUGCACACCUGUAAUCCCAGCUACUUGGGAGGCUGAGCUAGGAGAAUCACUUGAACCCGGGAGGCACAGGCUGCAGUAAGCCAAGAUCGUGCCACUGCACUCCAGCCUGGGCGACAGAGUAAGACUCUGUCUCAAAAAAAAAAAAUAUAUAUAUAUAUAUAUAUAUGUCCAGUAAUGUGCAACUUUCACAGUCUCCACCAGGAUCAUCACAGUCUAACCACUGCUUCCUCCAGCCUGAACUUACUGCAAGAGGCCACUCACUGGUCUCCAGGCAUCCACUCUUGCUUCCCCCACGCACCCCACCACCAGUGUCUAUUCUCAACAGAGCAGCCAAAAUUGUCCUUUUAAACAUUGGUUGGAUUGUGUCUUCUGUCUGUUCAAAACUCUCCAGUAUGUCCACAUGGAUCUCAAAAUAAAACCAAAGUUCUGGCCAGGCACAGUGGUUCGUGUCUGUAAUCCCAGCACUUUGGGAGGCUGAGAAGGGAGGGUGGCUGGAGCCCAGGAAUUCAAGACCAGCCUGGGCAACAUGGCAAAACCCCAUCUCUCCAAAAAAUACAGAAAUUUG